GUCUCUUUCUCAUACCACGACCCGUGGUCGGAGAUACCUAAUAUUUCCCUCAUAUUUUUAAAACAUAUAUAUAUACUUUCAAAAUAGUAUACUUUUUUGGUCAUGAAAGAUUACUUAAUAUUACUUAGGGAGAAUUACAGGGAGGGUGUAUUGGGCACCAUUGGUAGUACAUAAGUAGGAUCCCCGUAGGGAUUUUGUGCUAUACUAUUACUAUCUAUCAUACUAGGAUCCACAUGUGGAUCGAGAAAAAAAACUAGAAAUACUAGAAAAAGUAGAACUACUACAAGCAGUUGUUGGGGCGGAGGGGCAAAAGAGGUUUUGGGGUACAUGGGGGAAGGGUGGGUUGUGUUCAACAAACUAUUGGUAAUGAGUCUCUACCUUGCUACUCCUGCUUGGUCUUCCAUAACUUCUUUUUUAACAAAAGGUGGUGCCUUGUCAAAAAGAUGUGUGCUGCCUCCAUGGGUAGUUGUGAACCAUAUUUAGCUAGUGCAUCAGCAACCAUGUUGGCCUCCGUAUAAGUGUGGCUAAGGAUGGGAUCACCCAGCUACCGUAGUAGCCACCUGCAAUCAUGAAUUAAGUGAGUAUACUGUGGGUUAUCAUGUUGUAGUAAGGUGAUUACCUCUUCGGCGUCGAUAUUUAUUUCUAGAGCUUCAUAACCAUAUUGUAAAGAGAGUCGUAAUCCAUAGAGUAAGGCAGUGAGUUCCGUCUGGAUGCUGUUUGCAAACCCAAUGUUACCUAAGAAUCCUAGUUGCCAUUCACCAGUGGAGGAGCGGAUAACCCCUCAUAUGCCAUUGACACCUGGCUUUGUGGAGACCACUCCAUCAGUGUUAAGUUUAUAGAAGUUUGGUGCAGGAGGAUUCCGUUUUAUAUAGAAAGGGAUUAAAGGCUUGCGUGGUGGAGAUUUAUGUGUAAGAAAGUAAAAUUCCGCAGCGUGAUGAAUUAUUUGAGAGUGAUUGAGAGGAUCCUUACGAUUAUUAAAAAUAUUAUGGUUGCGAUUGAGCCAAAUGCCCCAUAGAAUAAAAGGAAAGAGAGUGGUGAGUGGAAUAUUAUGUGGGGUGGUUAUGGGUUGAUUUAUAAGUGUGUGAAU
rnacentral:lncRNA from 1 species